CGCGUAGGUGGUUUGGUAAGUCAGAAGUGAAAGCCCUCGGCUUAACCGGGGAACUGCUUUUGAAACUGCCAUUCUAGAGUACGGGAGAAGGAGGUAGAAUUCCUGGUGUAGCGGUGAAAUGCGUAGAUAUCAGGAAGAAUACCGGCGGCGAAGGCGGCCUCCUGGCCCGAUACUGACACUGAGGCGCGAAAGCGUGGGGAGCAAACA
rnacentral:rRNA from 1 species